UCCAAUUUUGCAGUGCAUGCAAUGUGGUAACUCUUCUCUCCUGUGUUCUUUGAACUAAAGAAAAACAACAGUGGAAAAUCAAAGGUAACUUAAUGCAAACAAACAAAAAAAAGCCCAAACCCAGCAUUGAAAGAAAAUAGAUGUCCAUACGGAAGCAUAAGGAGACAGCCCAGGACACAAAAACAACUCUUACCUUCUGCGUGUACCUGUGAAAGCAGUUCAUUUGAAACUGUGAGGAACAGAACCCUACUUUCAAAAGGAAAGCUGAACCUCCUGCCUUCAGGUAACUCCAUGUACUGGAUCUGCAAGGAAGACAUCAAGAUAUGCAACGAAAUAUCCAGAGCUGGCAUUGCUGGACUCUUGUCGGCCACAUUACUGCAUUACCUGAGAAAAAGAGACAAUAACCUUGACAAUCGUUGACAAGCCUAGACAGCAUAUAGCUCCAAACAGAAGCUUCCAACAAUGUCAGAAAUGCCCCAGGUGACACAGAACCGCAAAUACUACUGCAAGCAAUUUUAUUCAAAGGCUACAGCUGCUUUAAUCCCUGUUGGUCAAUCCCUGCCUGGCAACUAGCUACAAAAGGUACACAGUACUCAAAUUCUACAGUUAUCCCAUAUGGGACAGUUCAAAUAAAAGUCACAACUUUUCCACAUGCAAAAACAAUCCUGUACUUUGCUGUCCAAGCUAGUUCUGACAUAAUAAACAAAGUCUACAGGAUAAACUAACAGGAAAACCAACACAAAAUGUCAUCACCUCCAACAAGCAGGAGCACCUCAAAGUUUUAAAGAUACAAUGCACCCGACUGCUGAUGCAUGACUAUCUAUGUUCCCCUUGUCAGAAGAAGCAAUAAUGGAAUUCUGUUAAUGUCUAAUUAAAAAUACAGAGAUAAUUGUUGUUCCCCCUUAGAAUCAAAUUUUUCUGGGGCCAACCUGCAGGCCUCUUUCUUUCAGAAAGAUGUUACCUCAGCCUGCCCUUUUUCUCUACCUACGUCCUACUCUCAACUGGCCACUGGCUAUUGCCAUCCUGCCAGCUGUCACAAUUAUAUCCUAAGCUUUAUGAUGUUUGAUCCUCCACAAAUAAAAGCCUGAAUGCUUCGUCUUACACAAAUAAACCACUCUUGCAGAUCACCUUAAA